CCCGCAAAACGUUCUAUCGCUGCCCGAGUAAUUGGGCGGAGGAAAGUCCGGGCAACGCAGAGCAUCCUGCUUCCUAACGGGAAGGCGCCUCGCAGCGGGCGACAGCCAGUGCCACAGAGAAUAUACCGCCGGCACCGCCGGUAAGGGUGAAAACGUGAGGUAAGAGCUCACGGCUUGUAUAGGCGACUAUACUUGCGGUAAACCUCAGGAGUUGAAAGACCAAAUAGGUCACGGAAUAUCAGGGUGGCUCGCUUUGUACAGGCUUCGGCCCGUAUCCGUGAUGGGUAGGUUGAUAAAGCCUGUUAGCAAUAACAGGACGAGAUUAAUGAUAGAAACUGCCGCCAGGCAGCACAGAACCCGGCUUACAGUUUUGUUGCUGUA
rnacentral:RNase_P_RNA from 1 species